GUUGCUUCUCAAUGGUGAACUCUCUCUGGAAAAGUUCCAAGUGAGGGAGUUCAAGUUUCCCGAAGCAUAAAUCAAUUUCGUCAGUAUUAAGCAGCGCGGUGUAAAUCUCUGUUGCAUCGUGCUACCUGUCUCCUGCUACAGUG